GAGACUCUAGUUAAACAAUAACAAUUCCUUGUCAAGGCAUAAUUAUAGGUUAAAUCCCUGUGAAUCUCC
rnacentral:tRNA from 1 species